UACGUAGGGUCCGAGCGUUGUCCGGAAUUACUGGGCGUAAAGAGCUCGUAGGUGGUUUGUCGCGUUGUUCGUGAAAACUCACAGCUCAACUGUGGGCGUGCGGGCGAUACGGGCAGGCUAGAGUUCGGUAGGGGAGACUGGAAUUCCUGGUGUAGCGGUGAAAUGCGCAGAUAUCAGGAAGAACACCCGUGGCGAAGGCGGUUCUCUGGGACGGUACUGACGCUGAGACGCGAAAGCGUGGGGAGCGAACAGG
rnacentral:rRNA from 1 species